GCUGGAUGCUUUUAACACACUUGAUAUCCCCGGGCUCUCAAAGUCCUGCCUUUUCACCUCACACAGAAGAAGAAGGAACAAGAAUAUUCCUCUCACUUGCUUCAGAGAAGAAAGCCUCUUGGCCAAGGCAUGUGGCUGAUGUCCUGGUCAGUGCUUCUGAGCAGCAGACGCGGACCCCUCACUCUUGAACCUGGGUGACACGAAGAUGCCGAGCAUCCCAGGUUGGCAAGGUUUAGAAGACAGCCGGGUCUGCAGGCAGAACAGCCAGCCGCCCUGGCAUCUCGACCUUGACUCUGGCGGCUGACAUUUCCGAUUUGCGUCGUCUGCCUCAUUCAUUCUUGUUGGAAGAGAGAUGCCGCUCGGGAGACUCUGUCAUGCUCGUGCCCCACGGGCCAGUCCUUGCUAGAAGACCCUUGCUAAAAGAAACAAGAUGCCCCAAGUCCAGUUUAGUCCAAGGAAGAGCAUCUGGUUUGUUGGCUGGGAAGACUGGCUCCGAGCCAUCCUCACUCAAGUAUUUAUACUGAAGGAGCUCCAAAAGCUGUGCUUUCCCGGAAGGAGAGGAGAGAUGCUUACCAAUACACUGAAAGUUACUUCUUGUGUCCAAAGAAAGCCAUAUACGUGACUAUACUGUACAGAA